CAUUGUAAAUAACCCUGAUGUACCGCCACUGUUUAUGAUGAUGUCAUUUCAUCGCGACCUCCAUGCAUUGGAUUGUGGAUUUGAUUGUACUGCCUGCAGUCUGAUGUGGUUUGGCUGAGCUUUAUUCAUCAAUUGUUUUACGUCUCCAGUUUUCCCUGAGGUCCAAAAUAUUCAGUGGAGUGAAACUGUUGAUGGCAGCAAAAUGUAACAAGCUUGUCCUGGAGGACUGCUCUUAUGGGGAAUGCUGUGGAGGAGAGACAGGCAGACUGUGGUCCAUCGUGUG